rnacentral:sRNA from 1 species
UCUCCUGAUUGCGUUCGAGGGUGACCGC